rnacentral:lncRNA from 1 species
UGCAGAGUAUCAACAGCCAGCUCAGCCGUUAGCUUGUAGCCGCUAAUGAAAGGCGGCCGUUUAUGUUUGGACCGGCAGCGGGUCCCGUUCCGUGCAGGUUGAUGACUCGAAUCUCGACUCCAAUAGUCCAAUCUCUGAUGUUUUACACGGUCGUGUUGUACAGUGUUGUACAGGCCCAGGCACCAGGGCUUUCCUGAAGAGCAAUAUGUCAGCCCUUCACAUGCGCAUAUUUCUUCGCAAGAAUUAACAGUCUGAGUGUCUUCUUCACAUGCUGCUCACCCUUCGCGUUGUCACCAUCCAAACUCAAACAUGCAACCCACAGAAAUUGCAACCCAACCAUCACUGGGCUUCCCUGCCGUCAUCCAU